GGGUGCGAUCAUACCAGCACUAAAUCACCGGAUUCCAUGAGAACUCCGAAGUUAAACGUGCUUGGGCGAGAGUAGUACUAAGAUGGGUGACCUCUUGGGAAGUCCUCGUGUUGCACUCC
rnacentral:rRNA from 1 species